AUCAGUACUGUAAGCAGCUAGUUUGGCAAAAAUAAUGUCUUUUCUUCUCCCCCAAAUGAGGAAGGACGGAUGAAGUCUGGCCUCUCCAAGACUUUUAUUGCCAGUGAUAGGGACCAUCAGUGUCUGGCCUGAGAAAUGGCCGAGCUGCAGGCACCUCAGUCAACGCAGCUUAUUGAUCUGAGCUCCUGCUUCCCCGGAACAAGAGAAGUAACAAAGUCAGCCGUCCCCUGCAGAACUGCAGACCCUCACCGUUUGGUGGUCCUGCAGACACCACCCUGGCCUGCUCGUACAGUGACGUUUCAGGAACACGCAUGCCUCCUCUGAGUUUUCACCCUUCAUCGAAGUUGUGUAGCCGUGAUUCAUUUCUCCACCAUUGACACAUCAGGCCUCCAUUAAGUAGGAUGGAAAGCGAUUAAUCUGGAGCAGAACACCCGGGAAUCCCAUUCAUAAAUAAUCCUUUUUCUUGGCACCCCAGCACUGGUGCGCGAAGGAAGAUUUACAAGCUCAGAGCCCAUAGGCCAAACUUGCAGGAAAAAGUGUGUCCCCAACCCUCUAACUUUGCACAUGAGAUUAAAUGGCUCGUCCCUCUGUGAUCAAUAGGUUGCCGGAAGCACUGAGGGGGAUGUUUUUUGUGGCAUGCACAUAAGAGUUUCUAAUGCAGAAGAGACAGAAUCUGGGGCAUAAAACCCAUCUUCCAAACAAAAACACAA